rnacentral:rRNA from 1 species
AUUGAACGCUGGCGGCAUGCCUUACACAUGCAAGUCGAACGGCAGCACGGGUGCUUGCACCUGGUGGCGAGUGGCGAACGGGUGAGUAAUACAUCGGAACGUACCUUACCGUGGGGGAUAACGCAGCGAAAGCUGUGCUAAUACCGCAUAUGCCCUGAGGGGGAAAGCGGGGGAUCGCAAGACCUCGCGCGAUUAGAGCGGCCGAUGCCUGAUUAGCUUGUUGGUGGGGUAAAAGCCCACCAAGGCGACCAUCAGUAGCUGGUUUGAGAGGACGAUCAGCCACACUGGGACUGAGACACGGCCCAGACUCCUACGGGAGGCAGCAGUGGGGAAUUUUGGACAAUGGGGGCAACCCUGAUCCAGCAAUGCCGCGUAAGUGAAGAAGGCCUUCGGGUUGUAAAGCUCUUUUGUCAGGGAAGAAACACCGGCUCUAACACAGUCUGGGAAUGACGGUACCUGAAGAAUAAGCACCAGCUAACUACGUGCCAGCCGCCGCCGUAA